rnacentral:lncRNA from 1 species
UUUCCCAUGUCUUGAACAAUUUCAUCAUUUUCUCUAUUUUACAAUUCCAAUUUAAUUUUUUGCAUUCAUCUUUAUCAUGUCCAAAAAACACCCCUAAUGCUUUAAUGGGUUUAUCUCCCCAAUUAAUUCCCGCAAUUUUAUCUUUACAUGAUUUUAAUUUCCCGAUCCAUAAUCCUUCUGUUUUAUUUCUAUUUACCAAAAGUCCUGAAAAUGAGCCAAAAAUUUCGAUUAUAUUCAUUGCAGAUAUUACAUCGUUUUUAUCUUUACAAAAUAAUGUUGUGUCAUCUGCUAGUUGUGAAAUUUUAAUGCUGUGACUUUU